rnacentral:rRNA from 1 species
CCUACGGGAGGCAGCAGUGAGGAAUAUUGGUCAAUGGACGGAAGUCUGAACCAGCCAAGCCGCGUGCAGGAAGACGGCUCUAUGAGUUGUAAACUGCUUUUGUACAAGGGUAAACCUGAAUACGUGUAUUCAGCUGCAAGUACUGUACGAAUAAGGAUCGGCUAACUCCGUGCCAGCAGCCGCGGUAAUACGGAGGGUCCAAGCGUUAUCCGGAUUUAUUGGGUUUAAAGGGUGCGCAGGCGGAUUGAUAAGUGAGAGGUGAAAUGUCCGGGCUUAACCCUGGAACUGCCUCGAAUACUGUAGGUCUUGAGAGUAGAUGCGGUAGGCGGAAUGUAUGGUGUAGCGGUGAAAUGCUUAGAGAUCAUGCAGAACACCGAUUGCGAAGGCAGGUUACCAAUGUAUAUCUGACGUUGAGGCACGAAAGCGCGGGGAGCAAACAGGAUUAGAUACCCGGGUAGUC